rnacentral:RNase_P_RNA from 1 species
GGCCAGACAGUCGCGUCACUCGCAAGAGUGCCGAGGAAAGUCCGGGCUCCAUAGGGCAAGGUGCCAGGUAACGCCUGGGCGGCGCAAGCCGACGGACAGUGCAACAGAAAGAUACCGCCUACGUUCCUUUCGGGGAGCCGGUAAGGGUGAAAUGGUGCGGUAAGAGCGCACCGCGAGUCCGGUAACGGACCGGCACGGCAAACCCCACCUGGAGCAAGACCAAAUAGGGAUCCAUUGGCGUGGCCCGC